AUGGUGGAGAAGGGCAAAGAGGACCUCGGAGGCCUGACUGCAGGGCUUAUGGAGCUGUCCUUGCUCGCCGCCUUUUCUCCGUCGUUCAGACCCUCACUGCCCCGCCAGUGUAGGUUUCUGUCCCCUCAGUCCUUUUGCAGGAGUAGGUGGAAUCCAUGGACCAGAAACUCAGACCGCCGGUUCCUCGCCACCUGGCGCCCACGCAGGGUCGCUUCUCCCGGAAGGCGCGCUUGUUCCUGCGGCGCUGCCUGCCUGUGUCGUCGUCCCUUCUUCAAACCUCAGGAUUUCUCCGGUUUCCCAGACCGUAAGGUACAUUUAAACUGCUUUCAUUUUGUCACAUAUGCCCUUUGAUAUUAUGGACGUAACAGUUAUUACUUUUACGUUUCCUAUUUGUGAAUUAUUCAUAGAUAAAGAAUUUACGGAAGCAUUUAUUUUUAGUUGACAUAUUGCGUAUAUUUAUGGAUAACAGGGUGAUAUUUUGAUUCUUGUAUUCAUUGGGGAAGAUGCAGUCAAGCUAAUUCACAGGUGCAUCAAAUCACCAGCUAACUAAUACUUCAUGGCGAGACCACGAAACACCUGUUAUUUCGCUUUUCUAAAAUGUACGGCAUGACUUCGGAGCAAACGGUACUGCCCGGCCUCAGCAGCCCGAGACUGAGCGUUUCUGAAGCGCGGGGUCCCCGUUUCUGAGAGGGUCGUGGCUGCAUGCAG
rnacentral:lncRNA from 1 species